ACGAACGCUGGCGGCGUGCCUAACACAUGCAAGUCGAGCGGAGACAGUGAGUAGCUUGCUAUGAGCUGUUUUAGCGGCGGACGGGUGAGUAACGCGUGAGCAACCUUUCCCAGACAGGGGAAUAACACACCGAAAGGUGUACUAAUACCGCAUAAGACCACGGGAUCACAUGGUUCUGAGGUAAAAGAUUUAUCGGUUUGGGGUGGGCUCGCGUCCGAUUAGGUAGUUGGUGAGGUAACGGCCCACCAAGCCGACGAUCGGUAGCCGACCUGAGAGGGUGAUCGGCCACAUUGGGACUGAGACACGGCCCAAACUCCUACGGGAGGCAGCAGUGGGGAAUAUUGGGCAAUGGGGGGAACCCUGACCCAGCAACGCCGCGUGGAGGAAGAAGGUUUUCGGAUCGUAAACUCCUGUCCUUGGAGACGAGUAGAAGACGGUAUCCAAGGAGGAAGCCCCGGCUAACUACGUGCCAGCAGCCGCGGUAAUACGUAGGGGGCAAGCGUUGUCCGGAAUAAUUGGGCGUAAAGGGCGCGUAGGCGGCUCGGUAAGUCUGGAGUGAAAGUCCUGCUUUUAAGGUGGGAAUUGCUUUGGAUACUGUCGGGCUUGAGUGCAGGAGAGGUUAGUGGAAUUCCCAGUGUAGCGGUGAAAUGCGUAGAGAUUGGGAGGAACACCAGUGGCGAAGGCGACUAACUGGACUGUAACUGACGCUGAGGCGCGAAAGUGUGGGGAGCAAACAGGAUUAGAUACCCUGGUAGUCCACGCCGUAAACGAUGAGUGCUAGGUGUUAGGCCCUUUCCGGGGCUUAGUGCCGGAGCUAACGCAAUAAGCACUCCGCCUGGGGAGUACGACCGCAAGGUUGAAACUCAAAGGAAUUGACGGGGACCCGCACAAGCGGUGGAGCAUGUGGUUUAAUUCGAAGCAACGCGAAGAACCUUACCAAGUCUUGACAUCCUUCUGACCGGUACUUAAUCGUACCUUCUCUUCGGAGCAGGAGUGACAGGUGGUGCAUGGUUGUCGUCAGCUCGUGUCGUGAGAUGUUGGGUUAAGUCCCGCAACGAGCGCAACCCUUAUCUUCAGUUACUAACGCGUAAAGGUGAGGACUCUGAAGAGACUGCCGGGGACAACUCGGAGGAAGGUGGGGACGACGUCAAAUCAUCAUGCCCCUUAUGACCUGGGCUACACACGUGCUACAAUGGCCACGACAGAGAGAAGCGAAAUCGUAAGGUAGAGCGGAACUCAAAAAAGUGGUCCCAGUUCGGAUUGUGGGCUGCAACCCGCCCACAUGAAGUCGGAGUUGCUAGUAAUCGCGGAUCAGCAUGCCGCGGUGAAUACGUUCCCGGGCCUUGUACACACCGCCCGUCACACCAUGGGAGUUGGGAGUGCCCAAAGCCGGUGAGGCAACCGCAAGGAGCCAGCCGUCUAAGGCAAGACCAAUGACUGGGGUG
rnacentral:rRNA from 1 species